CCUACGGGAGGCAGCAGUGAGGAAUAUUGGGCAAUGGCCGCAAGGCUGACCCAGCCAUGCCGCGUGCAGGAAGAAGGCCCUAUGGGUUGUAAACUGCUUUUCUCAGGGGGUAAACCCUCUUACGUGAUAGGAGGCUGAAAGUACCUGAGGAAUAAGCAUCGGCUAACUCCGUGCCAGCAGCCGCGGU
rnacentral:rRNA from 1 species